rnacentral:rRNA from 1 species
AGGGUGACAGGUGGUGCAUGGUUGUCGUCAGCUCGUGUCGUGAGAUGUUGGGUUAAGUCCCGCAACGAGCGCAACCCUCGCCUCUAGUUGCCAGCAUUCGGUUGGGCACUCUAGAGGGACUGCCGGCGACAAGUCGGAGGAAGUGGGAUGACGUCAAAUCAUCAUGCCCCUUAUGACCUGGGCUACACACGUGCUACAAUGGGCGGUACAAAGGGCUGCGAACCCGCGAGGGGGAGCGAAUCCCAAAAAGCCGCUCUCAGUUCGGAUUGCAGGCUGCAACUCGCCUGCAUGAAGCCGGAAUCGCUAGUAAUCGCGGAUCAGCAUGCCGCGGUGAAUACGUUCCCGGGCCUU